AACCAGACUCCUACGGGAGGCAGCAGUGGGGAAUAUUGGGCAAUGGGGGAAACCCUGGCCCAGCGACGCCGCGUGAGGGAAGAAGGUUUUCGGAUUGUAAACCUCUGUCCUUGGUGACGAUAAUGACGGUAGCCAAGGAGGAAGCCACGGCUAACUACGUGCCAGCAGCCGCGGCAAUACGUAGGCGGCGAGCGUUGUCCGGAAUUACUGGGUGUAAAGGGAGCGUAGACGGCAGUGCAAGUCUGGAGUGAAAGGCGGGGGCUCAACCCCCGGACUGCUCUGGAAACUGUACGGCUGGAGUGCAGGAGAGGUAAGUGGAAUUCCUAGUGUAGCGGUGAAAUGCGUAGAUAUUAGGAGGAACACCAGUGGCGAAGGCGGCUUACUGGACUGUAACUGACGUUGAGGCUCGAAAGCGUGGGGAGCAAACAGGAUUAGAUACCCCCGUAG
rnacentral:rRNA from 1 species